rnacentral:rRNA from 1 species
GACGAACGCUGGCGGCGUGCUUAACACAUGCAAGUCGAACGGUAAGGCCCUUUCGGGGGUACACGAGUGGCGAACGGGUGAGUAACACGUGGGUGAUCUGCCCUGCACUUUGGGAUAAGCCUGGGAAACUGGGUCUAAUACCGGAUAGGACUACGCGAUGCAUGUCGUGUGGUGGAAAGCUUUUGCGGUGUGGGAUGGGCCCGCGGCCUAUCAGCUUGUUGGUGGGGUGAUGGCCUACCAAGGCGACGACGGGUAGCCGGCCUGAGAGGGUGUCCGGCCACACUGGGACUGAGAUACGGCCCAGACUCCUACGAGAGGCAGCAGUGGGGAAUAUUGCACAAUGGGCGCAAGCCUGAUGCAGCGACGCCGCGUGGGGGAUGACGGCCUUCGGGUUGUAAACCCCUUUCAGCACAGACGAAGCGUAAGUGACGGUAUGUGCAGAAGAAGCACCGGCCAACUACGUG